UGCCAGCCGCCGCGGUAAUACGGAGGGUGCAAACGUUGCUCGGAAUUAUUGGGCGUAAAGCGCGUGUAGGCGGUGAAUUAAGUCGGAUGUGAAAGCCCUGGGCUCAACCUAGGAAGUGCGUUCGAUACUGGUUCACUAGAGUACGGGAGAGGAUAGCGGAAUUCCCGGCGUAGAGGUGAAAUUCGUAGAUAUCGGGAGGAACACCAGUGGCGAAGGCGGCUAUCUGGACAGAUACUGACGCUGAGACGCGAAAGCGUGGGGAGCAAACAGGAUUAGAUA
rnacentral:rRNA from 1 species